CUGUACUAAACUUUUUUUUUUUAUUGUAGAAUUGGCAAAGGUUUUCAGGGAGUGAUGAAGCGCUGGGGGUUCAAAGGUCAGCCAGCUUCCCAUGGACAAACUAAAACACAUAGGAGGCCAGGCUCUCUGGGGCCGGGAGGGGACCCAGCAAAAGUUUUCAAAGGAAAAAAGAUGCCAGGCAGGAUGGGAAACAUUUACGACACCAAUCAUGGCUUGAAGCCAAAUACAUGUUCUGCUGAUACUUCUGCUCUGCAUUACACUGUGCAGUUUACAUGCUGCAUUGCAUAUACUGGAUGGCAUAAACAUUUUGUUGUACGUUUAUUAUACAUCAAAAUACACGGUAAGCACAAUUUCAAAGCUCAGCUGUAGUAUCUUGUGCUCAGGAGACAAAAUAAUAAACUUUUUGAAAUAAAUUCUGUUGUAGGAACAAGGUAGAUUUAUACUUUUAAAUCCAGGCAUGACCAAGUUGUGUAUACAAGGUGUCAUACACCAAAAUGACAAUAUUGCAAGACUCACUUGACGGUGAAACACGUGCUUUUGGUUUGUCCAAUAUUUAAUGUCAUGAGACAAAGGUUAUUAUCAGGACAAACUCUUAAGGACUUGUUUUAUAAGAUGGACCCAGAAAA